UACGGGCGGGGCGAGCGUUGUUCGGAUUCAUUGGGUGUAAAGGGUGCGAAGGCGGUCGUCUAAGUCGAAGGUGAAAUGUCUACGGCUCAACCGAGGCAUUGCCUCCGAUACUGGACGACUUGAGUGCGGAAGGGGAGCGUGGAAUUCCUGGUGUAGCGGUGAAAUGCGUAGAUAUCAGGAGGAACACCGGUGGCGAAGGCGACGCUCUGGUCCGCAACUGACGCUCAUGCACGAAAGCCAGGGGAGCGAA
rnacentral:rRNA from 1 species